UCUAAUUUUUGUGUUGUUCUAAUAUUUACACCCCACUCUCUUUAAUGGUAUAUGGAUUAGAAAUCCCAGAGCUAGUCUGAGGGCAUUUGAAGUCAUCUUUUCUUGUUCUUAACUUAGUUAAUGCAGAUAUUUUUCAUCCUGUUAGGAACAUGUCCUUCUAGUAUUGGUUCAUGAAGGGACUUUUUAUGAAGAAGAAUCAAUUCUGAAUGUUCUCAGGGUCUUUUCUGUUCUGAUUAAGACAUUCAUCUAUUUUUAUGUUUUGACUCAUUUUGUAAAUUACAUGCGUUUCUCUUAAUUUUCAGGCUUGCAUCCCUAGGGUAAAGAGAUCUUGGUAAUGGGGUGUUAUUAUGCACUUUUAGGUUUGAAUUGCUUAUAUUUCAUUUAUGAAUUUUACAUCUAUAUUCAUAAGUGAGAUUAGGCUUUUUAAAUUCUUGUCAAAUUUUGGAUUAAUAACCAACUUUCUUUUAUCUCAUCUUUCCUGUAUUAUUUCAUAGCAUCUGUUUUGACAUCUAAAAAGUUCCUCUCAAUUCUGUUAUAAUAUUUUUAGAAACAUGUUCUCUAUAAAGUAGAAGGCAGCAUGCCCUAUAACUCAGCAAUUCUCCCCUGAGGCAGAAACCGGUUCAGGCCUUAGCUUAUUAUGGUUCAGGUAGAUAUACAUAUGUGUGCUGAUAUGUGUUGUAGACAUACAUACAUGUGCUGUGAGACAUGUGUAAGGAUGCUCAUGGCUGCCAGUAGCAGCAUGUCAGAAAUUACUUACAUGCUACUAGUAGUGAAAUAUGUUUAUUAAACAUGUGCAAUUGUCCUAGAGACAGCUUUGGCCAGUAUCUCUCUUAAGCGGCUGAUGGGUGGAAAGCCCAGAGCUCUUGGUAAGCACAUUGUUUCAUUCAUCCUUGUUGCAUGUCAUCAACAAGGAGUGUGUGUGUGUGUGUGUGUGUGAAAGUCUCUGUAUGUAUGUCUGUAUGUCUGUGAUGGGCCUUAGUAAGAUAUAAACCAUCAUCUUAGAUUAUCUUAUAUUAUGUUUUAGAAUAAGGCCUAAGUUUUAUGUGUGUGUGUGUGUGUGUGUGUGUGUGUGAGAGAGAGAGAGAGAGAGAGAGAGAGAGAGAGUAUGUGUGCAUGCAUGUAGAAGCCAGAGGUUGAUGUUGGAUGCUUUAAGCAAUCACUCUCCACCUUAUUUUUAAAGACCACCUCUUACUGAACGUGGCACUUGCUGUUUUGACUAGAUCAUCUGGCCAAGAAGUUCUAGGAAUCCUCCUGUCUCUGCCUCCCAAGCUCUGGGGUUACAGCCAAGAACCUGGAGCUUCAAGGAUGGAACUCCAGGACCCUGCUUACUGCUCAGAGGAGUGGAACUUGGACAUCCUAAAAGGCGUCCUGAACUGCUAGUUAGUAACCCAGCCCCGGAGCCCCACACUCUACAGAUUACUGUGCUUCUGAUGCGUUGCUGAAUCCAGGAUCUGCCUUGCUGGUCUACUGCAGAGGGCACGUGUUCUUUCUCCACAUGUGUUUCAGCUGACUGAUACGCCUGUGCUAACCCAGCUCGGGGUCUCAGAGGGGUGGCUGCUCACAGGUCACAGUCCUUCCUGUGUCCUAUUUCCAAGCAAGGAGAGUACUGUACUUCCUAUGCCGAAUCAGGGACAUGAUACUAGACCCCCAAGUGGUGGGUCUUUAUUUAUUUUUUUAAUGCAUUCAUUUUUCGUAAUGUACUACCCGGGUCCUAUAGGGGAACGCCAUUUCUCCCUUGCAGCCCUUAGCUUCUGAUAUGCUGUGACCAGGACAUGUGACACAUUCCCUUUUGGGUUUAGUUUUGGUCUUCCUAGAACCUGUUAGGAAAGAAGCUCAUGAUGUGGCUGUAAGUCAACCUUGCCUUCACUAUGUACCGAGAAAAGUAGAAGUUGACUUCUUCUAGCCAAGGAGACUCUGGGCAAAGCAAGAUAUCUGGAACAGGAUCCUUAGGUAUUUCUUCCCAUCACUGUUGUUUCUUUGAGACAGGGUUUCUCUGAGUAGCUCUGGCUAUCCUGAAACUUGUAGAUCAGGCUGACCUGGAACUUAUAUAUCCAUCUACCUCUGCCUCCCAAGUGCUGGGAUUAAAGGUGUGGGCCUUGCCAGACACCCGCUGCUGUUCCUGAUAGGGUUGGAGUAGAAGAGGACCUCUCCAUGUGCUCUGUGCAGUUCCUCUAGCUGGGGAACUCCCUCUGGGUUCUCACUGAGUUGUUUUCCCAUACAUGGGAUGAGUUUUAUCACCAAACUUUCAAGAGAGAGAGGUUGCCUUGGCCUGGGAGGUUUUGUUUGUAAAACCUCUUUGAUAGCUGGGGGAAUGGUCAGAAGUAAAAAAACAUCCAAAUUUAUACAGUGUUACCAGAGGACUUAAAGAGAUGGAGGUACCAGCAGCAGGCAGGACUUCAUGAAAACCCCGUUGCUUGCUAAGGUGGUCAUGUGACUAUGCUCUGGCUUUGGGGUGUAUAUACAUUUGCUGUGUGGAAGCAGGAUAUAGUUGUGAAGGAAGUGCUGUAGCUAUGUUAGUGGAUCAUGAGGAUGAAACCAAGUCAUGGAGAAGGCAGAGGGUGAGCUGGGUCUCAGAGGGUCCUUAUAUCCUGUAUACUGUGUACAUACGUAGAAUGGAUGUAUAUAUAAUGCAUGAAUGUAUGUAUAUGUAAUAUAUGUAGAAAGACAUUCAUUGUAUACAUGUGUAUAUAUACAAAUAUAAAAAUUUCAUUUUGUUCUUGUUUGAUGUAUGUAUGUAUGUAUGUAUGUAUGUAUGUGUACUACAUGUGUGUAGUGCCUGUGGAGGCCAGAAGAGGGUAUUGAAUCUCUUGGAACCAGAGUUCCAGUUGGCUGUAAGCCUCCGUGGUAGGUGCCUGUGUGCUGAACCUGGUCCUCAGUAAGAGCAGCAAGUGGCCUUAACCACUGCGCCACCUUUCCAGUCCCUAUUUGAUUUUGAGACAGCACAUCCCUAUACAUUCCAGGCUGAACUUGAACUUGUCUUCCUCUUGCCUCAGCCUCUCUAGUGCUAGAAUUUCAGGCAUGUGCCACCAUGCCCAGCAGGAGAGAAACAAGUUUAAUCUUGUUUCAGUGAUUGCCUUUAAGUUCUAUAAUGGUAGCUGCACUAAUCCCACCCAUCAACAGAUAACAAGCAGUAAGGACUGUUAACUGGAGGCCACAGGGUGCCAUGGCCACAAACAGUGUGGAGCUGUCUCAGUCCUCCCUCACCCGAUUUUUUGAGAGCAGCAAUUGGAUGAACUCUUUUUAGACGCCA
rnacentral:lncRNA from 1 species